rnacentral:rRNA from 1 species
GGCGAACGGGUGAGUAACACGUGAGUAACCUGCCCUUGACUUUGGGAUAACUUCAGGAAACUGGGGCUAAUACCGGAUAGGAGCUCCUGCUGCAUGGUGGGGGUUGGAAAGUCUCGGCGGUUGGGGAUGGACUCGCGGCUUAUCAGCUUGUUGGUGGGGUAGUGGCUUACCAAGGCUUUGACGGGUAGCCGGCCUGAGAGGGUGACCGGCCACAUUGGGACUGAGAUACGGCCCAG